AGAGAUUUAGUUUAAUUGGUAAAAUGUCAGACUCCGAAUCUGAAGGAUGAAGGUUCGACUCCUUCAAUCUCUGCCA
rnacentral:tRNA from 1 species